GGGCAUUUGGCACAGUGGUAGCGCGCACGCUUUGCAUCUUUUCGUUUGCUAACGAGACAGUGCGUGAGGUCCAGGGUUCAAGCCCCUGAAUGUCCA